rnacentral:rRNA from 1 species
UACAGAGGUCCCAAGCGUUGUUCGGAUUCAUUGGGCGUAAAGGGUGCGUAGGCGGCGCGGUAAGUCGGGUGUGAAAUCUCGGGGCUUAACUCCGAAACUGCAUUCGAUACUGCCGUGCUUGAGGACUGGAGAGGAGACUGGAAUUUACGGUGUAGCGGUGAAAUGCGUAGAUAUCAGGAGGAACACCGGUGGCGAAGGCGGAUCUCUGGGCCGUAACUGACGCUGAGGAGCGAAAGCAUGGGGAGCGAACAGG